UUAAAACAUGGAUUAGAUACCCGUCUAUUCAUGAUCUAAAAUACUAGUCGAAUAUUACGAACCACAGUUUAAAAUUCAAAGAUCUUGGCGGUGUCUUAUAAAACCAGGGGAACCUGUCUCAUAACUCGAUAAUCCACGAUUACCCAACCUUCUCUAGAAACCCAGCUUGUAUACUGCCGUUGUAAGCAUACCUUUAAAAGAAUAAGUGUGCUACUAUGAUCAAGCAACAACUUGACUCAUAUACAUCAGGUCGAAGUGCAGUCAAUGAAAAGGAGCUGAUGGGUUACAACCUAAAAAAAGACAUGAAUUAAGAAAUAAAAAAUUUUAUGAAAGUGGACUUGACUGUAAUUAAACAGCAUAUUAAAAAAAUGAAAACAAAUCUAAGACAUGUACACAUCGCCCUCACUUAAACCGAGUAAAUG
rnacentral:rRNA from 1 species